rnacentral:lncRNA from 1 species
AGUGGACGCUUUAACAUAGUUUCAAAAGACAAUGGUGUUCCUGUGGUGGCAUUUUCUCUGAAAGACCGAAGGCAGUACGAUGAGUACAAGAUAUCAGAGAUGCUGCGGCGCCAUGGUUGGAUUGUUCCAGCCUAUCCAAUGCCACCUGCUGCUCAGCACAUAAAUGUACUCCGUGUGGUCAUAAGGGCUGAGUUUUCACGCACCCUUGCUCAACGCCUUGCGUUUGACAUACACAAUGUGCUGCAUGAGCUUGAAAAGGUGCAUGCCCCCAUAAUGACCAAUAACACUGAGGAAGUGAACAAGGGCUUGGUUGAAACUGGUGUAAAGAAAACUGCAAUGGAUGCUCAAAGUGAAAUCAUUUCUGAAGAAUCCAACAAGCGUCAGAAAAUCAUGGCUGCCUAACUAGGGAGAUCGAUUUCACUAUGCCAACUAAAUAAGCAGCCUCUAUUUGUUUAAACUCCAUUCAUGAUCCACCUGUAUUUCAUUUAUUUUCUUUCUGAAAAUGUUAGGCUUAUCAUUGUUGGUUGGAAAAGAUUUCUUUAACACCCAAAAAUAAAACACAUAUACUUCACAACCCUGUAGUUCAGUAUAAAGUAGUUUUUUUUUUUAAAUAUGCACCUCGCGUUAUUGUUGUUCUAAAAGUUGUUAUUAUUAGAGCUUUUUCUUAUGUUUAUACUUAGUAGUCCUAUCACUUAUUUAUACUUUAAUUUUAAAAUAUGAAAUAAUAUUUUAAAUGCUAGCCAACUACAUAGAAAGUUUUGUCCUAGAAGCUAUAACUUUAAUGGGUGGUACCCAUUAAAAUACUUUAAGAUAAUAUAAAGUAUAAGCUUAUGAAUCAGAAGAAAGAAAUAUUUUUCUAUAUUAAAUAUAUCGAUAGCUAAAUACAAUAUUAAUCGAAGUGUGAGUCUUAUAAUAUUGGUUCAUUGGAUUAAAAAAAAGCAAGAAAUUCUUAAAAGUAAACAAUAAAACAUGAAAAAGAGAGUAAAUUAAAACAUCAUAAAAGGACUCUUACCAUAUAGAUGACUUUUGAGUAAUUAUUUAGGUACUCGUCUAAAUAUUCUAUCUAAAUAACAUGUUUUUAUAUCCACUUUUACUAGGAUAAUCAAACUUAUGACAAAUAUCAAUUAUAUAUGAGUUAGCAUGUUUACUUAUAUAUUGGAAAAAUUUGGAAGCAUAGGAAUAAUAUUUUCUUUUAGAAUGCUAGAGUUGAAUACAUUGAGAUAUUUACGAUGACACAACUUAAAAGCUUUGUUUUGACUAACAUCGAAGGAAUGCGAAUCAAAAUUUAUAUAUGCAAAAUGGUGUUUAACUUUUCUUUAUUGAUAAGAUCAUCAUUUAAAAAAUUUCUUUUCAACAAAAUUUCAAGGUCUAUCAUGCAAAAAUAUGUGACUUUUCCAUAGGCACAACAUAACAUAAAACAUCAUCCUUACACUUUCCACUAAAAAGCCUAUGAGGACUUUCUUGUUGACUAGUAUUUCACCAUCCAUCAUUGCACCUUAUAUGGUUUAGCAUAAGAAUAAUAGAGAAACCAAGCUUUUCUAUUAUCCUUGUGUUUGUCACAUUAAAGCAACUUCUUUGAUGAAUAAUAAAGGAACACAAUUUGUCAUUAAUUAGACAUCCAAUAAGAAGAACUAGUAUUGAAGCUAUGAUUAAUAUAUUUGAUGAAUCCAACUAUGCAUAUGCGGAUAAGUUGGUUAAUUUAGGAUUCAUUCAUAGAGAAUCAUUUCAUUGGUAUAAUAGACUUCCAUCUAGUCUGUUAUUAGAAUUCUUUAUGAAUAGGUAUAGUCUACCUAUGUAUCGUUUUUGUUAACAUGUGAGUUUUGGUCUAGUCCCCCCAUAUUUUUGUAUUUUCUUUCUUUUUCUUUUUUAAUAAUAAUAUUUUUUUUAUGUGAUGACAGAUGAUUGUUGUUACUUGAGGUGUCAGUCUAGCUGAGAUGUCAAGUUGUAUAGUAAUGUCUAACAUAAAAACUUUUAUAAAAAAAAAAAAAUCCAACUAUUUACAUAAAGAUUUUAAAGAUUCGUGGAGACAUAUAUUUUAGGUUCUUUUGUAUUGAUUCAAACAUUAAUUUAUUAUUCAUCUGCAACUUGUAUAAAGAACAGUUCUAGCAUUUUUGUUUUAAUCUAUUAACACAUGUUUUAAAAAAUAUAAAAGCAUAACUUUCUUCUUCAAUAUAACUCUCUCACUUCAAAACCAAUUAACCUGAAAGCAAAACCAAUCUUUCUGAAAUCAUUUUUAUUCUCUUCUUAUUGUUUUCUUUCGAGUUUCAUACCUUCUGUUGGAGAUCCCACAUCAACUAGAGAUAAGGACCUUUCAUUGUAUAUAAGUGGGUGCAAACCUCACCUUAUUGAGCUGGUUUUAUGGGGUUGAGUUAAGCUUAAAGUUCACUCUUUCGUAACAUCUUCUUUCAUCAAUGCUUUAACUUCAACAUUAUUUGACAUUGUACCUAAAAUUUAAAGAAAAAAUAAAAAAACUAACCAAUUAUAAAUUUAACAAGUUAGAACAAAAUGAAAUAUUUGCCUCACAUAUGUAUGUCUCUUGAUCUUGAUGUAAAAUUAAGCUAAGGUGCUGGAAUUUUAAUCACACUCUUACAAGAAUGAUUAAUACUUAAAGUUCUACUACUUGAACGUCAAAUAAAGUAGGACAAAUUUUAUCACCUAAUCCUAAUGAAUCUGAAUGGUUAAUUUAAAUUAAAAAGGAAUACUAACACUAAUAUAGUAAAUUAUUUCACUUAUUCUUAGAAUAAAUGGAUUUCUCUCUUUAUGUUUAUAUAUAUAUAAUUUUAAUAAAAAAAUUAUUUAUUUUAGUAAUGGUGAUACAACUUCAACUUCUUCAUUUUUUUUAAAUUCUUUUAAUUCUUAAUUUCAACUUAUCAAAAUAUUUAAAGAGAUAAUUUUAAUUUCAUUUUUCAAAAUUAUUAAACUAUUCUUUAAAUUAUUAAAUGUUUCUGACAAAUCUUCCACCAAAACGUUGUCGAUUGGAUAUGUUAUGUUGUUAACCACAUUUGAUGUUCAUAUUAUCAAAAAGUCAAAACUUAGUUUUGAAGGAUAUGAAGGUUGAUCUUUUUACCUCCUGCUGAAUAUUUCUUAGUUAAGGGGCUACGUGCUUAAACAAAAAUGUUCAAAUUCAAUUUUUUACACUUGUUUAUCAAAAUCAAUCAAAAAAUUCAAUAUACAAGUAGCCACACUUUUCUUCUUCAUGGUCAAAUUUGUAUGCAUUCUGGCACACUCAACACAUGUUUCGCUAAAAAAAAUUAUGUUUUUAUUUAAUUUAAUUAAAUAUUUUAUUUGUACUAGAUAGUUUAAAACUAAUUUUAUAUAUAAAAAUUUAAAACAAACAAACUGUGAGUUGCUUUUGUUUAAGAUUAAUUCAUACAAUUCAAACUUAUCAAAAUCAAUUCUGUUAAAGAUUUAAAAGAAUUAAUUUGUUAAACAAUUUAUAUAUAUAUAUAUAUAUGUAUAUAUAUCAUUAUACAGAAUAUCCAUUAAUUUUACUAGUUAAUGACUAGUUUUUUAUUGUACUUUUCUUUUAUAUAUAAGACAUCAAUUGAAACUUCGUUAUCAUUCUUUGCGAUUAUAUUUGACUCACGCUAUUGCAUUCCAUUUAUACAUUUGUUUUUAAAAUUUUAACGUCUCCUACUUCAUGCACAUAUAACCGAUGUUUAGGUGUCAAAUUUUUUUUGUCUCUUUUUCAUAUAUUUUUUGUCGACAUUAAUUCACACUUUUCGUAUUGUUGGUUUAAAAAAUAUAUAAUUUAACAUCAUUGAAACGGAUAAUUUUGUAUUUUUAGAAAAAAUAGAUAACUUAUUAUUGUUGAUAAAAAAAAAUCAUUAUGACCAAGAACAAUAGGAUCUCCAAAACAAAACAAAACAAAAAAGAAUUUAUUGAUUGAGCCACUUCUUUUGACAUGGUUGUUAAUUAAUAUGGUUACAAAUAAAGCAACACUGACAAUUUGGCAACAGGGUUGAAAUUAAAAAGCUGAACAUUGGUCAUUUGAAGUAAAUCUGGCGAAUAAAUGAGAAUUUUCUUUUACUUGAAUAUAUGACGGCUGGAGUAUAAGAAAAUGAAAUAAUGAAACUAAAAUAAAUAAAUAAAUCAUGAAAAAAAAAUCAAGUAAAUGGUUUUUAAAAAAUAAAUACAUAAAUUAAUUUUAAGUUGUGAAAUUUUUUAUUUUUUUUAGUUUAGUCCCUAUUUUAUCUUUAAAUAAAUUCUUGUUAAAUAAUUUACGCAAACGGACUCCUAAUUAAUUAUAAUUUCCACUAAUUAUAAUGCGAUAGCUAGCUAGCUAGCUUAGUGUGAUAUCAGUUUCUAUUGGGACGACGCCAGUCCCAUAAGGGAUUCUAAAGACGGCAAAAAAAGUUGUUUCACGAACUACGUAUAUGACAUAAGUGAUUCUAAAUAAUCACAUUCUUUCGCUAUCUCCUCUUUCUACAAAAUUAAAUUGUUCAGAAAAGAGCUAAAGUUGUGAAGGCAGUUUCAAGUCCUCUGCCUUGUGUUGUACGUACUUAAUUAAUGCAUGGAAAAGUAAUUCGCAAGCCAUUAAUGAUUCUCACGUUUUUACAACCUAUAAAUAUACCACAACUUUGUUCUCAUUCAACACUUCCAAACAAACCUCAUCAUCAACUUAUUAGUCUUUUUUGUCUCUAAGUAAGAUCUGUAACAUUAUUAUACUACUUUUAUCAAACACUUCACCAUGGUUUUUCCAAGACCUCCUUCUGAGUCUGACCUCUUUCUUCAUUCCAACUUUGCUUCUCGCUAUGCAAGAGACUCUCUUCCUAGGUAUAAUAAGCAGUUUCCAUUUUCUUUUUUCUUUUUCUUCAUGGCUCGUCUUCAUUGAAUACCAUUAUUAUCUUUGACUUCAAUGUACUAUUUGAUCAUGAUUUUCUGUCUGGGUGGUACUUGAUGAAGUGUUGUUUUGGUGGUGCAGGUUCAGCAUGCCUGAGGACUCCAUGCCUAAGGAGGCUGCCUACCAGAACAUACACGAUGAGUUGCAACUUGAUGCCAUUCCAAUGCUUAACUUGGCUUCCUUUGUCACCACUUCCAUGGAGGAAGAGUGCAACAAACUCAUCAUGGAAUCCAUCAACAAGAACUAUGUUGACAUGGAUGAGUAUCCUAUCACCACAGACCUUCACGUACCUUCUCAUACUCAAGCUAAUUUCUUUUCCAAUAUUUUCUAUAUGUUGGAUAUCAGAUACAUAUUACAUAUUUUUGGUUUUUGACCACCCUCAAUAAUUUUUCUACUCUCUUGUGUUGUAUCUCUAAUGGAAACAGAACCGGUGCCUGAACAUGAUAGCACGUUUGUUCCAUGCUGAAAUUGGAGAAAAUGAGAAUGCAGUUGGAGCAGGAACGGUGGGAUCAUCAGAGGCCAUAAUGCUAGCAGGACUUGCAUUCAAGAAGAAGUGGCAGAACAAGCGCAAGGCAGAGGGAAAGUCUUAUGAUAAGCCAAACUUGGUCACUGGUUCCAAUGUGCAAGUAUGUUGGGAGAAAUUUGCAAGGUAUUUUGAGGUGGAGUUGAGGGAAGUGGAGGUGAGAGAAGGCUACUACGUGAUGGAUCCAGCGAAAGCCGUUGAGCUGGUUGAUGAGAACACUAUUUGUGUGGCUGCCAUCUUGGGCUCAACUUACAAUGGAGAGUUUGAAGAUGUGAAGCUCUUAAACGACUUGCUGCUACAAAAGAAUAAGCAAACUGGGUAAGCAAUGUUCCACUAUGUACCUCUGGUCUCCAAAUAAAAGUGUUUCUAAUUUGGUAAAGUUGUGUUGUGAUAUUACAGAUGGGAAACAGGUAUUCAUGUGGAUGGUGCUAGUGGUGGUUUCAUUGCUCCUUUCCUUUAUCCAGAGCUUGAAUGGGAUUUCAGACUGGAAUUGGUGAAGAGCAUAAAUGUGAGUGGACACAAGUAUGGGCUUGUUUAUGCUGGUAUUGGUUGGGUUAUUUGGAGGAACAAGGAGGAGUUGCCCCAAGACCUUAUCUUCCAUAUCAAUUACCUUGGAGCUCACCAACCCACCUUCACCCUCAAUUUCUCUAAAGGUCUUUCUUUUCAAACUACGUCUAUUCCUUCAACACCUUCAUUACCUAAUCAUACCAUAUACUUACCUUCUCAUCUUCACUUGCAGGUUCUAGUCAGAUCAUUGCUCAAUAUUAUCAGCUAAUUCGUCUUGGCCAAGAGGUCAGCUAAACCUAAACCCUAAACCCUUAUAUAUAAUUCUAUAUUUCAAUUAUAGUUUAUGCCCCUCUCCUCAAUUCUAUCAUGUUACCACAAUUCCCUUACAUUCUUAUUGGACUUAGCAGGGUUACCGAAGCAUAAUGGAGAACUGCAGAGAAAAUGCAAAGGUGGUGAAAGAAAAUUUGGAGAAGAGUGGACGAUUUAACAUAGUUUCAAAAGACAAUGGGGUUCCUGUGGUGGCAUUUUCUCUGAAAGACCGUAGCCAGUACGAUGAGUACAAGAUAUCAGAGAUGCUGCGGCGCCAUGGUUGGAUUGUUCCAGCCUAUCCAAUGCCACCUGCUGCUCAGCACAUAAAUGUACUGCGCGUGGUGAUAAGGGCUGAGUUUUCACGCACCCUUG